CCGGGGAUAACGACUCCAACCGCCAUUCGGCCAAAAACCUGAUGAGGGAGGAGCUUACAUCACACGUCCUUGCUAUCACGGUGGGGGUUAGGUCGGAUUUCCUGGACGAGAGUGGCCCACUACCGUUCAACCAAGCGCGGUUGAAAGACCUGGGGCUUUGCAGCAUCAAGGUUUCCCGUCCCCCUCUUCUGGAAGAUGUCGCUAUUAAGUCGGAGAAGAAAUGGAAGAGGGAGGUGGAGCAAUCUACCAUGGCGGUGUGCAAGAAACGCCACCUCGAGAUGAAGCGGACACGUCUUACGCGAGCUGGGCUAGGGUGGAGCAUCACCUCGUCCACGGACAUGGAGGACAUGACCUCUACUGAGGUCAA
rnacentral:misc_RNA from 1 species